rnacentral:rRNA from 1 species
UACGUAGGUGGCAAGCGUUGUCCGGAAUUAUUGGGCGUAAAGAGCUCGUAGGCGGUUUGUCACGUCGGAUGUGAAACCCUGAGGCUCAACCUCAGGCCUGCAUUCGAUACGGGCAGACUAGAAUUCGGCAGGGGAGACUGGAAUUCCUGGUGUAGCGGUGAAAUGCGCAGAUAUCAGGAGGAACACCGGUGGCGAAGGCGGGUCUCUGGGCCGAUAUUGACGCUGAGGAGCGAAAGCGUGGGGAGCAAACAGG